UAUGGGUUCUAAAACAAAACCUCUUUUUUAUUCUUAUGGUUUUUCGUUGGUUGAUUGGUUGAUUUUAGUUGUGUUUUUCUUUUGGUUGAUUUUUGGUUUGUCUUUCUGUUCGGUAGCCUGAAGGUGUUCCUUCUAAGUUUGAGUUGUUGCCCUAUUGCACAUUAGGUGUUUGCUCCUUAGUUUAGCUGCUAUGUUGAAGUUUGG
rnacentral:misc_RNA from 1 species